AAUGAACGCUGGCGGCAUGCCUAACACAUGCAAGUCGAACGACACCUUCGGGUCUAGUUGCUCACGGGUGCGUCACGCGUGGGAACGUUCCCUUAGGUUCCGAAUAACUCCCUGUCGUGGGUGCUAAUAUCGGAUAAUGUCCUCUAACCAAAGAUUCAUCCCCCUUGGUUGGGCCCGCGUUCGUUUAGCUAGUUGGUAGUGAAUAAGCCUAUCUAGGCUUCGCUACUUAGCUGGUCUGAGAGGAUGAUCAGCGACACUGGGACAGAGACACGGCCAAGACUCCUACGGGAGGCAGCAGUGGGGAAUAUCGGACAAUGGGAGAAAGACUGAGCCAGAAAUGCCGCGGGAGUGAUAAAGGCCUUAGGGUUGUAAAGCUCUUUUACCAGGGAUGAUAAUGACAGUACCGGGAGAAUAAGCUCCGGCUAACUCCGUG
rnacentral:rRNA from 1 species